rnacentral:rRNA from 1 species
GGCCUGGCUGGGUGGUCUUGCCGCAAGGUAAGCACUGCUCUGGUCGGGUCUUUCUUUCUGGGGAACCCUCGUGCUCUUAAUUGGGUGCGGGCGGUGGUCCAGGACUUUUACUUUGAAAAAAUUAGAGUGUUCAAAGCAGGCCUAUGCGCCCGAAUACAUUAGCAUGGAAUAAUAAAAUAG